CCCCGGGGGGGGGGGAGACAUUUGGCUAGGGCGGAGGGAGGGGGGAGCCCAAGGGAAGGCCUCCCCUGCGGGUGCCUGCGAGUGGGUGGCAACCCCCCCCCAUCCCUCCAUAAAAUAUCCGAGGGGGCACCUCCAAAGUGGAUGGGCAUUGCCAUUCAGAUGGUGCGUGUGCGCCACGUCAUGCGAUCGGUUAUGUGGGGUGGGUCUUUACCUGGAAAAAAAACACACACAAUAUUUCAUUCAAGUUGGCACCCCUGACAUCUGGGAGAAAAGCGAGAGUCCCUCCCUCCCUCGCUUUCACGGACAAGAAUAGUGAAAAUAAUAGUACCAGGGAGGACCGGUUGACUGUCAUCUUCCUGUGUGCAAAAUCCUGACCUAAUCCACCCUAUUAAGUAACCCGGAGCAAGCUUGUUUUUGCACUCAUGGGCUCUGUUUUGACUCCAGAAACGGACAACAACAACACAAUUAUUAUUACCGGUAUUAUUAUUAUUAUUAUUAUUAUUAUUGUUAUUAUUUUAGCUAUAUGCCACUGAUCGGACUGGGUUGGCCCAGCCUCUCUGGACAGCAACCGACAAAAAAGAGUAAAAACCCCACACAACAUCAAACAGUAAAAACUUCCUUGAAGAGGGCUGCCUUCAGGUGUCUUUUAAAAACCACAUAGCUGUUUAUCUGUUUGACAUCUGCUGGGAGGGUGUUCCACAGGGCAUACCUGCCGUGUAAUCCUAGGCGUGUCUGCUCAGAAGCAAAGCCGCACUGAACUAAAUGGGACUUGUGUACUCUGUAAAGUGCUGCACACAUUGAUUGAAUUAUUAUUAUUAUUAUUUUAUUUCUACCCUGCCCAUCUGUCUGGGGCGGCUUCUAACACAUAAAAAAACGUAAUAAAACCCCAGACAUUAAAAACUUCCCAAUACCAGUAAUAAUGGAUGCAGAAUUGCAGGCUGUUUGCGGAAUAAGUUUAUGUGGUGAAGUGGGCCUUGUGGAAACUUUGGUCCAGCAGAGGUUUGUCCAUUGGGGCAAAGGUGGCUGUGCGCCAUCAACCUCAGUUUGGCCUUAGGCAGUCUCCAUCUGCCCUCCUUCAGCCUUGCAUCCAGUCCAGGAGGUGGCACCUGAUUGUUGAGCUGGCACAUGAAGCAGGUGGCGCUGUGGUCUAAACCCCUGAGCCUCUUGACGGUUCGAAUCUGUGCGACGGGGUGAGCUCCUGUUGCUCUGUCUCAGCUUCUGCCAACCUAGCAGUUCAAAAUCAUGCUAGUGCAAGUAGAUAAAUAGGUACCGCUGCGGUGGGAAGGUAAACAGCAUUUCUGUGCACUCUGGUUUCUGUUAUGGUGUCCCUUUGUGACAGAAGCAGUUUAGUCAUGCUGGCCAUAUGGCCCAGAAAGCUGUCUGUGGACAAACGCCAGCUCCCUCGCCUUGAAGCGAGAUGGAACGCCGCACCCCAUAUUCAAGUUUGGCUGGACUUAACCAUCCAGGGGUCCUUUUCCUUUUUUCCCUUUGCUGAGCUGGCCAGAGACAUAGUGCUGUGUAUCUCCUUAAAGUUUUGUCUUAUUGGCACCACUUCCAAAAUGGGUGGAGUCUUAUGGGAUGGGGAGAUAGAAAAAUUUGUGGGGGGGGGGCAUUGAUUUGGCCUCUAGGGCAGGAGUCAACCACCCCAUCCUACGUUAUUUAAUUGUACAGUGGUACCUCGAGUUACAAACGUCUCAGGUUGCAAACACUUGAGGUUACAAACUCUGCUAACCUGGAAGAGUUACCUCGAGUUGAGAACUUUGCCCCAGGAUGAGAACGGAAAUUGUGUGCGGGUGGCGCAGCGGCAGCAAGAAGCCCCAUUAGCGAAAGCACGCCUCUAAUUAACAACAGUUUCAGGUUAAGAACAGACCUCCGGAACGAAUCAAGUUUGUAACUAGAGGUACCACUACUGGGAUUCCCUGCAGUGCAGAGGUUCCUGGGAGAAGUCAAAGGGUAUAAUGUGCUAAGUGGCUUCUUGUUGUUUUUUGAAGCAUUUGAGGGUGGGAGUACCUGCUGUUGCUGCAGUAAUGGACAGAUGUAAAGCUGUGAGGGUGUAAUUUCAGCAGCGCAGUAGUGUUUUAUUGGCAGGGCGAGACGAUGAAGUGCUGCCAAGUUAUGGAAGAGUCACUAGCUGCCAUAUUGAACGCAUGUGAUAGCUGGAGUCAUCCUAUCCCCUACUCUCGUUUUAGUAAGGACUGAAGUGUGAACUCUGAAGGUAUGCCAGUAUGUAAACAAUUCCCAAGUGUCGUCUGAUCACCAUGAUAGACACUGUCCAUUGUUGGCAGUGCCAGCUGUGGAAGUUGGCUGUUUUUAUUUUUGUGUGCUAAUGCUGUGUCAUCGCAGCAGGCAAGCCUAUAAUUAAAAUGUAGCUGUGCCUUACAAAUUCAAUUGGUGGGAAGAAUAUAAUGCAGUUGUCAUAGUUUCCAAAAAGAUUGCUUCCUGAUCUGUUUGACUGCUAAAUUGCUAUGAGAAUCUGUGUUGUGUUGCUGGAUUCUUCUUGUUGAAGUUUGCAUCCUUGAUUAUCGAUGCAAUGUGAAUGUGGGGACAGUGAAGUGGGAAUGUGGGAUCUGAUAGGGAUUAUUUUAAUUUAGUGAUAGUGUGUAGUGGCAGUCUGCACUUAGGUUUUCAGAUGUGCCAAAUAUUCUUUUGGAUGACAAGUAACAGUAUGUUUUGACAAAUCCAAUAUCAUCACAUUUGAAGGAGAUGUAGCAAAAGUCAAUAAAGGUGUUUCCUGGAUUAUAUACUUGAAGUUGAUGUGCAAAUGAACUCAGUUAGACCUAGUUCCCAGAAAUAACAAAUGGAAUUGUAAGGUUGUUACAUGUGGCCAGAGGGAACCUAAAUUCAGGUGGUCAUUAUAUGGCUAUCUCCUUGAAUUGGACCACUUGUUCAAAUACUUUGGACUUCGUGUCAAUGAGAAACUCUCAUGGAAGUUACAUCUGGGUGACAUUAAAUUAUCAAGAGCCAGGUCCAUUGGCCAGCUCAGCAGAUUUUUCUGUACAAAAGAAAACCAAUGAAUUAAUGCUGUUCUCAAGAUCUUUGUGGCUAAAAUCAAAGCACAAAUGCAGAAAUCUGGGAAGUUGGAGCAAAGUGCAAUAUGGAAGUUCUGCAAAAUAAAUUUGCAGUAGCAGCCAAGAAGCUGCAUUCUAGUCAUAUCAAGAAUUAUAGUGUAUUGUAAAGUUUUAUCCAAUGUUUUGUUACCCCUGGAGGAUGACAUACAUGGUUGUUAAUGGUUGCUCUGUGAUUCCAUAGCAAGUCUUUCUUUUAAUUCAUGUGUUGUGUUGGAAUUUUAUAUAUAUACACACACAGUGAGGGGGAAAAAGUAUUCCUGUUGUUAUUCUAUCUCUGACAGCUACAAUAAAUAUACCAUUCAAAUUAUGGACUGGCCAUUUCUUCGUUAGGGGGCAAACAGGCAAAUUUAGCAGGGGAUCAAACACUUUCCCCCCUCACACUGUGUGUGUGUGUGUGUGUGUGUGUGUGUGUGUGUGU